GUUCUCUGAAAAGUGAUUAAGCUCGAGUGCCGUGUUCUUUGUUAGGCCAGUUCCCAGCAGAAACAAAUGUGCUGGAGUGCUUCUGCUAGCAGCUCUUGGUGUCAUUUGUGUUCCAUCCCCCAAUGUGACAGCAUGUGCAGAGGGGCUGGCUGCACAAGGACAGUGGCUCUGCUUUCACUGAAGUUGCCUAAGAAAUUUAGAAGAGGGGUAAAAUGAUGCAUAUCAGCUUUCAUCUCUAUUGACAGUUUACACAUUAAAUUCACUGGGGACAACAAAGGGUUUUGGAGAAAUGUAAAUUCUCUGUUUAAAAGACUGCAACCAAUUGCUCCUAGAGUCAGAUACAUUCUGCACAUAAAAAUGUGAAAAUUCAUCAUCCUGUACCUUUUGAUAAGGAGAAAAGACAAAACUCUCAUGAAAAACAUUUUACAGGUUUUGAGCAGCAUACUUAGAAAAUCCUGGACCUAGUAGAGCAGGACCAGAGGAAAGCAAUAAGAAUAUUCCAAGUGCCCUGCUGCCAUGGGUGACCUGCUUCUGCCUUUGAUCCAGAGCAACACCUGGUCUCUCUACCUUCAGGGACAUCUCCUCAUUCAUGGCACUCUCUCCUGGGCUGAGGAACUCUCUUAGAGCUGUAACUGUGCAGCGCUUUAGAUCCUUCCCACUGUCCUCACUGUCCAGCAAGUCAAAAACAGUGUCCUUCAGGCAGAGUAGUGUGCUGUUCUUUACCAUCAACACACAUCUGUAAACUCAAGGAAGGAAGCUGUACAAGUUUGUCUGGUAGUCCAUGGUCAGGCUUCUAUCUGAGCUCUUCAAAGUACUUCAUCCCUGCGUGCACAUUCAUUAUAUCAUCACAAAAUUAUAUCCAAAAGGAAUUGCAAUGAACUGCAGUGGAUUUCCCCAGAGACUUCAGGAUUUAACAGCAUGAUCUAGGUUAUGUCCUUUGCAGCUUUCUUCAGCCAGUGAGUUUGCUUAAUGAAGCUGUGGAAAUUUGAAAAGCAGAUGUGUUUUUCUUAUGCCUUAGGGAAGCAGCCAAUCUUUAGUUGAGAUGUUGGGAAGAAACUGCCUAAUCUGCAAUUGCCCGCCUUGGAUUUUCAAGAGCUGACAGUUCUGAUAUCAGUCUGGUGGAGACACAGCAGUGGAGUAACUAGGUUGAUUGCCAGCUUUUAUGUAGUUCUGAAUGUUCUGAAAAUCCUUAUUUCUUUAUUUUCAUAAAGAAAUGUAAGUUAGAGUUGCUUCAGCCCUAGGUGAUUUGGAGCAGACUGUGAUUGUGACAAUGCUUAGCUUAGAAAGGAACUCCAUCAGAAAAUGGUUCAGUGCUUUUAAGCUUU